CAACAACUGGGCGCCGGAGCUGGAUUAGACGUUUCGCGUGGGCGUCGCGGCGGAGUUCAAGUCACGUGAUCAACGUUUCCCGCCUUUCGUCUCGGUCGUGUUGUGCAGACUCCCCUCGGCGCACGGUCCGAUCCGUUCGAGUGUUGGUCUUCGUCAACAUAUUUUUCAAGCAAGAGACUGCGACGACAAUUGACGAUCGUCAGCACAGGGCUCGCUGGGAAUUUUAUCGCAGGAAGGAACCAGCAUCGCAGAAAAACUCCUUGAACUGCCACACACCCCUGCUAUUAUUGCACUUGGAAGCAUUUUCAAGAAGGAAUCUUUUGUGACCUGCGAACAGCAGCUUCUUUUCAACGAGGCUGUGGACUUUUCAGAGGCUACCUGUCUCUUACUUCUGAGCUACUACAUUUUCAACUUAGCAUAUGCUGACCCUGUCACGACUACACAGGACUUUCUUCAGAGGAAGAUGUUCAACGGAAACCCGGAAAGGAGCAGUAAAUUGUCUAAUGGCUCAUAUCAAGGAUCAUUGUGGACAACAGUAUAAUGAA